AAAGCAUCAAGGUACCAAGAGCAUUUGUCCUUCCAUGAACUCCUGCUAGCAUGAGCUCGCCAUUUUUGGUCUGAAAUCAUUUCAGGGGAUAGUCCCCAUUCCAGCAUCUCUUCUUCAGUAUGGUGGACUGCUAAGCUGUAUUCACCACCGAGCCCUAAUUGUAGAACUCGAAAUCCACAAUUUCCUAAAUUGUUUAGAUACUCA
rnacentral:misc_RNA from 1 species